UACGUAGGGUGCAAGCGUUAAUCGGAAUUACUGGGCGUAAAGCGUGCGCAGGCGGUUCUAUAAGACAGAUGUGAAAUCCCCGGGCUCAACCUGGGAACUGCAUUUGUGACUGUAGAGCUGGAGUGCGGCAGAGGGGGAUGGAAUUCCGCGUGUAGCAGUGAAAUGCGUAGAUAUGCUGAGGAACACCGAUGGCGAAGGCAAUCCCCUGGGCCUGCACUGACGCUCAUGCACGAAAGCGUGGGGAGCAAACAGG
rnacentral:rRNA from 1 species